GCAGGCCCAGGGCGACGCCUUCCUCAGGUCCAAGUCAGGCUGGAGGAGUUACCUGGAGUUUGAGAUCAAGAACGGCGGGGGUGUGGAGCGCGUCCGGGCCGUCGGCGAGGCGCUCCUCGCGACCUUCCCCAUGGAUCCGCACGCGUACGUGAUCUACAUCAGGGCCCUGGCCGCUCUGUCCCGGCACGUUGAAGCCGAUGCCCUGGCACGCCGUGGCGUGAAGGAGCUGUCCGCCUUCUGUCGCGGGCGCGAUGGGUAUAUUAGGAGGUUUAUGCCCAGGUAUUUGAAGAGGCUCAGGGAGAGACGGAGCACCGCGUGGGAGGAAGAUAUGUUGAAUGAUUAGUCUCUUCUUUUUAGGGAACUGUUGAAUGAUUGGCCUGGAAUUGCCGUGUAAUGCUUUCGGCCACAGCUGUUCGUGAGCUCUUGGAUCUACAAGGGCGUGUGAAAGCGAAUGUGAUUUUUUUGUCUGAGUCACAUCUGAAUAGAGUAAAGGCAAAUGAGAUUAGAGAGAAACUAGUUUUUGAUCGUUUUCACAUCGUAGAGAGUGAUGGUCGUUCUGGAGGGCUUGUACUUUUUUUUAUAAUGACUCAAAUGAAGUGGUUUUGAAUUACUCUUCGCCUAAUUUCAUUGAUGGUUUUGUUAUGGAGGGUAAUAAUGUAGCAUGGCGUUGGACAGGUUUCUAUGAAGAACCUAGUGUUGGAAAUAUGCCCUAGAGGCAAUAUUAAAUGAUUAUUAUUAUAUUUCCUUAUUCAUGAUAAUUGUCUAUUGUUCAUGCUAUAAUUGUGUUAUCCGGAAAUCGUAAUACAUGUGUGAAUACAUAGACCACAACGUGUCCCUAGUAAGCCUCUAGUUGACUAGCUCGUUGAUCAACAGAUAGUCAUGGUUUCCUGACUAUGGACAUUGGAUGUCAUUGAUAACGGGAUCACAUCAUUAGGAGAAUGAUGUGAUGGACAAGACCCAAUCCUAAGCAUAGCGCAAAGAUCGUGUAGUUCGUUUGCUAGAGCUUUUUCCAAUGUCAAGUAUCUUUUCCUUAGACCAUGAGAUCGUGUAACUCCCGGAUGCCGUAGGAGUGCUUUGGGUGUACCAAACGUCACAACGUAACUGGGUGACUAUAAAGGUACACUACAGGUAUCUCUGAAAGUGUCUGUUGGGUUGACACGGAUCGAGACUGGGAUUUGUCACUCCGUGUGCCGGAGAGGUAUCUCUGGGCCCACUCGGUAAUGCAUCAUCAUAAUGAGCUCAAUGUGACUAAGGAGUUAGCCACGGGAUCAUGCAUUACGGUACGAGUAAAGAGACUUGCCGGUAACGAGAUUGAACAAGGUAUUGGGAUACCGACGAUCGAAUCUCGGGCAAGUAACAUACCGAUUGACAAAGGGAAUUGUAUACGGGAUUGAUUGAAUCCUCGACAUCGUGGUUCAUCCGAUGAGAUCAUCGUGGAACAUCUGGGAGCCAACAUGGGUAUCCAGAUCCCGCUGUUGGUUAUUGACCGGAGAGUCGUCUCGGUCAUGUCUGCAUGUCUCCCGAACCCGUAGGGUCUACACACUUAAGGUUCGGUGACGCUAGGGUUGUAGAGAUAUUAGUAUGCGGAAACCCGAAAUUUGUUCGGAGUCCCGGAUGAGAUCCCGGACGUCACGAGGAGUUCCGGAAUGGUCCGGAGGUGAAGAAUUAUAUAUAGGAAGUCCAGUUUCGGCCACCGGGAAAGUUUCGGGGUUAUCGGUAUUGUACCGGGACCACCGGAAGGGUCCACCGGGUGGGGCCACCUGUCCCGGAGGGCCCCAUGGGCUGAAGUGGGGAGGGGAACCAGCCACUGGUGGGCUGGUGCGCCCCCCUUGGGCCUCCCCUGCGCCUAGGGUUGGAAACCCUGGGGGUGGGGGGGGCGCCCCACUUGGCUUGGGGGGGCAAGCCACCGCCUUGGCUGCCGCCCCCCCUCAGAUGGGAUCUCCAGGGGGCCGGCGCCCCCCAGGACCCCUAUAAAUAGUGGGGGGGGAGGGAGGGCAGCAGCACCACCGCCCCUGGCGCCUCCCUCUCCCUCCCGUGACACCUCUCCCUCCCGCUUGCGCUUGGCGAAGCCCUGCCGGGAUCCCCGCUACUUCCACCACCACGCCGUCGUGCUGCUGGAUCUCCAUCAACCUCUCCUUUCCCCUUGCUGGAUCAAGAAGGAGGAGACAUCGCUGCUCCGUACGUGUGUUGAACGCGGAGGUGCCGUCCGUUCGGCGCUCGGUCAUCGGUGAUUUGGAUCACGACGAGUACGACUUCGUCAACCCCGCUCACUUGAACGCUUCCGCUCGCGAUCUACAAGGGUAUGUAGAUGCACUCCUUCCUUCUCGUUGCUAGUAAACUCCAUAGAUGGAUCUUGGUGAUGCGUAGAAAAUUUUAAAAUUCUGCUACGAUCCCCAACAGUGGCAUCAUGAGCCAGGCCUAUGCGUAGUUACUAUGUACGAGUAGAACACAAGAUUGUUGUGGGCGUAGAUGUUGUCAAUUUUUCUUGCCACUACUAGUCUUAUCUUGUUUCGGCGGCAUCGUGGGAUGAAGCGGCCCGGACCAACCUUACACGUACGCUUACGUGAGACAGGUUCCACCAACUGACAUGCACUAGUUGCAUAAGGUGGCUAGAGGGUGUCUGUCUCUCCCACUUUAUUCGGAACGGAUUCGAUGAAAAGGGUCCUUAUGAAGGGUAAAUAGAAAUUGGCAUAUCACGUUGUGGUUUUACAUAGGUAAGAAACGUUCUUGCUAGAAACCUAUAGAAGCCACGUAAAAACUUGCAACAACAAUUAGAUGACGUCUAACUUGUUUUUGCAGCAUGGUGCCUUGUGAUGUGAUAUGGCCAAAAGGAUGUGAUGAAUGAGAUAUAUGUGAUGUAUGAGAUUGAUCAUGUUCUUGUAAUAGGAAUCACGAGUUGCAUGUAGAUGAGUAUGACAACCGGCAGGAGCCAUAGGAGUUGUCUUUAUUUUUUGUAUGACCUGCGUGUCAUUGAAUAACGCCAUGUAAAUUACUUUAGUUUAUUGCUAAACACGUUAGCCUUAGAAGUAGAAGUAAUCAUUGGCGUGACAACUUCAUGAAGACACGAUGAUGGAGAUCAUGGUGUCAUGCCGGUGACGAAGAUGAUCAUGGCGCCCCGAAGAUGGAGAUCAAAGGAGCAAAAUGAUAUUGGCCAUAUCAUGUCACUAUUUGAUUGCAUGUGAUGUUUAUCAUGUUUUACAUCUUAUUUGCUUAGAACGACGGUAGUAAGUAAGAUGAUCCCUUAUAAUAAUUUCAAGAAAGUGUUCCCCUAACUGUGCACCGUUGCGAAGGUUCGUUGUUUCGAAGCACCACGUGAUGAUCGGGUGUGAUAGAUUCUAACGUUCGCAUACAACGGGUGUUGACGAGCCUAGCAUGUACAGACAUGGCCCCGGAACACACGCAAUACACUUAGGUUGACUUGACGAGCCUAGCAUGUACAGACAUGGCCUCGGAACACGGAAGACCGAAAGGUCGAGCAUGAGUCGUAUAGAAGAUACGAUCAACAUGAAGAUGUUCACCGAUGUUGACUAGUCCGUCUCACGUGAUGAUCGGACACGGCCUAGUUAACUCGGAUCAUGUUUCACUUAGAUGACUAGAGGGAUGUCUAUCUGAGUGGGAGUUCAUUGAAUAAUUUGAUUAGAUGAACUUAAUUAUCAUGAACUUAGUCUAAUAUCUUUACAAUAUGUCUUGUAGAUCAAAUGGCCCACGUUGCCCUCAACUUCAACGCGUUCCUAGAGAAAACCAAGCUGAAAGAUGAUGGCAACAACUAUACGGACUGGGUCCGGAACCUGAGGAUCAUCCUCAUAGCUGCCAAGAAAGAUUAUGUCCUAGAAGCACCGCUAGGUGAAGCACCCAUCCCAGAGAACCAAGAUGUUAUGAACGCUUGGCAAUCACGUGCUGAUGAUUACUCCCUCGUUCAGUGCGGCAUGCUUUACAGCUUAGAACCGGGGCUCCAAAAGCGUUUUGAGAAACACAGAGCAUAUGAGAUGUUCGAAGAGCUGAAAAUGGUUUUCCAAGCUCAUGCCCGGGUCGAGAGAUAUGAAGUCUCCGACAAGUUCUUCAGUUGUAAAAUGGAGGAAAAUAGUUCUGUCAGUGAGCACAUACUCAAAAUGUCUGGGUUACACAACCGCUUGUCUCAGCUGGGAGUUAAUCUCCCGGAUGACGCGGUCAUUGACAGAAUCCUUCAGUCGCUUCCACCGAGCUACAAGAGCUUUGUGAUGAACUUCAAUAUGCAGGGGAUGGAAAAGACCAUUCCUGAGGUAUAUUCAAUGCUGAAAUCAGCGGAGGUGGAGAUCAAAAAGGAACAUCAAGUGUUGAUGGUGAAUAAAACCACUAAGUUCAAGAAAGGCAAGGGUAAGAAGAACUUCAAGAAAGAUGGCAAGUGAGUUGCCGCGCCCAGUAAGCCAGUUGCCGGGAAAAAGCCAAGGAAUGGACCCAAGCCUGAGACUGAGUGCUUUUAUUGCAAGGGAAGUGGUCACUGGAAGCGGAACUGCCCCAAAUACUUAGCGGACAAGAAGGCCGGCAACACCAAAGGUAUAUGUGAUAUACAUGUAAUUGAUGUGUACCUUACCAGUACUCGUAGUAGCUCCUGGGUAUUUGAUACCGGUGCGGUUGCUCAUAUUUGUAACUCAAAACAGGAGCUGCGGAAUAAACGGAGACUGGCGAAGGACGAGGUGACGAUGCGCGUCGGGAAUGGUUCCAAGGUCGAUGUGAUCGCCAUCGGCACGCUACCUCUACAUUUACCUACGGGAUUAGUUUUAAACCUCAAUAAUUGUUAUUUAGUGCCAGCUUUGAGCAUGAACAUUGUAUCAGGAUCUCGUUUAAUGCGAGAUGGCUACUCAUUUAAAUCCGAGAAUAAUGGUUGUUCUAUUUAUAUGAGAGAUAUGUUUUAUGGUCAUGCCCCGCUGGUCAAUGGUUUAUUCUUAAUGAAUCUCGAACGUGAUGUUACACAUAUUCAUAGUGUGAAUACCAAAAGAUGUAAAGUUGAUAACGAUAGUCCCACAUACUUGUGGCACUGCCGCCUUGGUCACAUUGGUGUCAAGCGCAUGAAGAAGCUCCAUGCUGAUGGACUUUUGGAGUCUCUUGAUUAUGAAUCAUUUGACACAUGCGAACCAUGCCUCAUGGGCAAAAUGACCAAGACUCCGUUCUCCGAAACAAUGGAGCGAGCAACCAACUUAUUAGAAAUCAUACAUACUGAUGUGUGCGGUCCAAUGAGUGUUGAGGCUCGCGGAGGCUAUCGUUAUGUUCUCACUCUCACUGAUGACUUGAGUAGUUAUGGGUAUGUCUACCUAAUGAAACACAAGUCUGAAACCUUUGAAAAGUUCAAGGAAUUUCAGAGUGAGGUUGAGAAUCAACGUGACAGGAAAAUAAAGUUCUUACGAUCAGAUCAGGGAGGAGAAUAUUUAAGUCACGAAUUUGGCACACACUUAAGGAAAUGUGGAAUAGUUUCACAACUCACGCCGCCUGGAACACCUCAGCGAAAUGGUGUGUCCGAACGUCGUAAUCGCACUCUAUUGGAUAUGUUGCGAUCUAUGAUGUCUCUUACUGAUCUACCGCUCUCAUUUUGGGGCUAUGAUUUAGAGACUGCCGUAUUCACUUUAAAUAGGGCUCCGUCGAAAUCCGUUGAGACGACACCGUAUGAAUUAUGGUUUGGGAAGAAACCUAAGCUGUCGUUUCUAAAAGUUUGGGGAUGCGAUGCUUAUGUCAAGAAACUUCAACCUGAAAAGCUCGAACCCAAAUCGGAAAAAUGCGUCUUCAUAGGAUACCCUAAGGAAACUAUUGGGUAUACCUUCUACCUCAGAUCCGAAGGCAAGAUCUUCGUUGCCAAGAACGGGUCCUUUCUGGAGAAAGAGUUUCUCUCGAAAGAAAUAAGUGGGAGGAAAGUGGAACUUGAUGAGGUGAUAGUCACCCCUUCCGAACCGGAAAGUAGCGCAGCGCGGGAAGAUGUUCAUGUGGUGCCUACACCGACUGGGGAGGAAGUUAAUGAUGAUGAUCAUGAAGCUUCGGAUCAAGUUGCUGCUGAACUUCGUAGGUCCACAAGGACAUGUUCCGCACCAGAGUGGUACGGCAACCCUGUCCUGGAAAUCAUGUUGUUAGACAACGGUGAACCUUCGAACUAUGAAGAAGCAAUGGCGGGCCCAGAUUCCGACAAAUGGCUAGAAGCCAUGAAAUCCGAGAUAGGAUCCAUGUAUGAAAACGAAGUAUGGACUUUGACUGACUUGCCCGAUGAUCGGCGAGCCAUAGAAAAUAAAUGGAUCUUUAAGAAGAAGACAGACGCGGAUGGUAAUGUGACCAUCUAUAAGGCUCGACUUGUCGCUAAGGGUUAUCGACAAGUUCAAGGGGUUGACUACGAUGAGACUUUCUCACCCGUAGCGAAGCUGAAGUCCGUCCGAAUCAUGUUAGCAAUUGCCGCAUUCUAUGAUUAUGAGAUAUGGCAAAUGGACGUCAAAACGGCAUUCCUUAACGGUUUCCUUAAGGAAGAAUUGUAUAUGAUGCAGCCGGAAGGUUUUGUCGAUCCUAAGAAUGCUAACAAAGUAUGCAAGCUCCAGCGCUCAAUCUAUGGGUUGGUGCAAGCAUCUCGGAGUUGGAACAUUCGCUUUGAUGAGAUGAUCAAAGCGUUUGGGUUUACACAGACUUAUGGAGAAGCCUGUGUUUACAGGAAAGUGAGUGGGAGCUCUGUAGCAUUUCUCAUAUUAUAUGUGGAUGACAUACUAUUGAUGGGAAAUGAUAUAGAAUUCUUGGAAAGUAUAAAGGCCUAUUUGAAUAAGUGUUUUUCAAUAAAGGACCUUGGAGAAGCUGCUUAUAUAUUAGGCAUCAAGAUCUAUAGAGAUAGAUCAAGACGCCUCAUUGGUCUUUCAUAGAGUACGUACCUUGACAAGAUAUUGAAGAAGUUCAAUAUGGAUCAGUCCAAGAAGGGGUUCUUGCCUGUAUUGCAAGGUGUGCAAUUGAGCACGGCUCAAUGCCCGACCACGGCAGAAGAUAGAGAAAAGAAGAGUGUCAUCCCCUAUGCCUCGGCCAUAGGGUCUAUUAUGUAUGCCAUGCUGUGUACCAGACCUGAUGUAAACCUUGCCGUAAGUUUGGUAGGAAGGUACCACAGUAAUCCCGGCAUGGAACAUUGGACAACGGUCAAGAAUAUCCUGAAGUACCUGAAAAGGACUAAGGAUAUGUUUCUCGUAUAUGGAGGUGACGAAGAGCUCGUCGCAAAGGGUUACGUCGACGCUAGCUUCGACACAGAUCUGGAUGACUCUAAGUCACAAACCGGAUACGUGUAUAUUUUGAAUGGAGGGGCAGUAAGCUGGUGCAGUUGCAAGCAAAGCGUCGUGGCGGGAUCUACAUGUGAAGCGGAGUACAUGGCGGCCUCAGAGGCAGCGCAAGAAGCAAUCUGGAUGAAGGAGUUCAUUACUGACCUAGGGGUGAUUCCCAAUGCGUCGGGCCCGAUGACUCUCUUCUGUGACAACACUGGAGCUAUUGCCCUUGCCAAGGAGCUCAGGUUUCACAGGAAGACCAGGCAUAUCAAGCGUCGCUUCAACUCCAUUCGUGAAAGUGUUCAAAAUGGAGACAUAUAUAUUUGUAAAGUACAUACGGACCUGAAUGUAGCAGAUCCGUUGACUAAACCUCUCCCUAGAGCAAAACAUGAUCAACACCAGAACUCUAUGGGUGUUCGAUUCAUCACAAUGUAACUUGAUUAUUGACUCUAGUGCAAGUGGGAGACUGUUGGAAAUAUGCCCUAGAGGCAAUAAUAAAAUGGUUAUUAUUAUAUUUCCUUGUUCAUGAUAAUUGUCUAUUGUUCAUGCUAUAAUUGUGUUAUCCGGAAAUCCUAAUACAUGUGUGAAUACAUAGACCACACCGUGUCCCUAGUAAGCCUCUAGUUGACUAGCUCGUUGAUCAACAGAUAGUCAUGGUUUCCUGACUAUGGACAUUGGAUGUCAUUGAUAACGGGAUCACAUCAUUAGGAGAAUGAUGUGAUGGACAAGACCCAAUCCUAAGCAUAGCGCAAAGAUCGUGUAGUUCGUUUGCUAGAGCUUUUUCCAAUGUCAAGUAUCUUUUCCUUAGACCAUGAGAUCGUGUAACUCCCGGAUGCCGUAGGAGUGCUUUGGGUGUACCAAACGUCACAACGUAACUGGGUGACUAUAAAGGUACACUACAGGUAUCUCUGAAAGUGUCUGUUGGGUUGACACGGAUCGAGACUGGGAUUUGUCACUCCGUGUGACGGAGAGGUAUCUCUGGGCCCACUCGGUAAUGCAUCAUCAUAAUGAGCUCAAUGUGACUAAGGAGUUAGCCACGGGAUCAUGCAUUACGGUACGAGUAAAGAGACUUGCCGGUAACGAGAUUGAACAAGGUAUUGGGAUACCGACGAUCGAAUCUCGGGCAAGUAACAUACCGAUUGACAAAGGGAAUUGUAUACGGGAUUGAUUGAAUCCUCGACAUCGUGGUUCAUCCGAUGAGAUCAUAGUGGAACAUGUGGGAGCCAACAUGGGUAUCCAGAUCCCGCUGUUUGUUAUUGACCGGAGAGUCGUCUCGGUCAUGUCUGCAUGUCUCCCGAACCCGUAGGGUCUACACACUUAAGGUUCGGUGACGCUAGGGUUGUAGAGAUAUUAGUAUGCGGAAACCCAAAAGUUGUUCGGAGUCCCGGAUGAGAUCCCGGACGUCACGAGGAGUUCCGGAAUGGUCCGGAGGUGAAGAAUUAUAUAUAGGAAGUCCAGUUUCGGCCACCGGGAAAGUUUCGGGGGUUAUCGGUAUUGUACCGGGACCACCAGAAGGGUUCCGGGGGUCCACCGGGUGGGGCCACCUGUCCCGGAGGGCCCCAUGGGCUGAAGUGGGGAGGGGAACCAGCCACUGGUGGGCUGGUGCGCCCCCCUUGGGCCUCCCCUGCGCCUAGGGUUGGAAACCCUGGGGGUGUGGGGGCGCCCCACUUGGCUUGGGGGCAAGCCACCCCCUUGGCCGCCGCCCCCCCCCUCAGAUGGGAUCUCCAGGGGGCCGGCGCCCCCCAGGACCCCUAUAAAUUGUGGGGGGGAGGGAGGGCAGCAGCACCACCGCCCCUGGCGCCUCCCUCUCCCUCCCGUGACACCUCUCCCUCCCGCUUGCGCUUGGCGAAGCCCUGCCGGGAUCCCCGCUACUUCCACCACCACGCCGUCGUGCUACUGGAUCUCCAUCAACCUCUCCUUCCCCCUUGCUGGAUCAAGAAGGAGGAGACGUCGCUGCUCCAUAUGUGUGUUGAACGCGGAGGUGCCGUCCGUUCGGCCCUCGGUCAUCGGUGAUUUGGAUCACGACGAGUACGACUCCAUCAACCCCGUUCACUUGAACGCUUCUGCUCGCGAUCUACAAGGGUAUGUAGAUGCACUCCUUCCUUCUCGUUGCUAGUAAACUCCAUAGAUGGAUCUUGGUGAUGCGUAGAAAAUUUUAAAAUUCUGCUACGAUCCCCAACACCUAGUUGGGACCUGAAACAUCUCUCGUGGACGUAUGUGAGGGGCCUCCAUAGUAACAGAGAGGGACCGUGGAUGAUCAUUGGAGACUUCAAUGAAAUUUUAAUUGCAAAUGAGAAGGAAGGUGGGAACACCAGGCCGCUACACUUCAUGCAAAAUUUCAGAGAUUGCAUCGAGGAUUGCGGAUUACAGGAAGUCACGUUUAUUUGAGAUCCCUUUACAUGGAGUAGGGGUAUGACUAGGGAGCGUCUUGACAGAGCUUUAUGCAACGACAAGUGGUCUGAAAAAUUCCCCUACGCGGCUGUUGUAUAUGAGUACCACAUCCAUUCAGAUCAUAGACCGCUUGUGCUGGAUACAUAUUACUUUGCAACGGUGUUAUCACCACAACCGAAAGGAGAGAGGAGUUUUGAAGCGCGUUGGUUGAAGGAGGAGACAAUGAAUGAGAUCGUCAACACGGCAUGGCAGCGAGCCCAUCUGGCGGGUGUCGGACCGUCCCUGGCUGAUCAUACGUGAGCAGUUAAGGCGGAUUUAUUUCAGUGGGAUCGUGACACACUACGAGGGCCAAAGAAAAGGAUACAUAAACUGCAGAAAGAGCUGAAAAAGCUAAGGCGAGGGCAGCUAACCACCGAAUCUAGACAGAAAAUAAAAGAAACACAAAUACUUAUUGAGAACCUACUAGUAGACCAGGAGGAAAUUGUUUGGCUACAGCGAGCGCGGGCAAACUGUUUACUCCACGGUGAGCGGAACACGUCUUUUUUUCAUAAAGCAGCAACAACACGUAAGAAGAGGAAUUGUAUUAAGAGGCUCCUAGAUGAUACAGGUGUGUGGAGAGAAGGUAUGGAUGAAAUCAACUCUAUCAUUACUGGAUAUUUCAGUAAUCUGUUUACCUCCCAAGUUAAUGUACCAAACAGGAACGUUUUGGACCAUGUGCAUACUAGGGUAACUACUGAUAUGAAUGAGAGACUGAUGGCUCCUUAUACAGCAGAAGAAGUGAAGAAGGCUUUAUUUUCCAUCGGUGAUCUCAAGGCCCUGGGGCCAGAUGGCUUACAUGCUAUUUUUUACAAGCGUUUUUGGCCCAUGCUUGGUGAUGAUCUGGUCGCAGAAGUACUGAGUGCAGUCAAUUCCCAGGUGAUGCCACAAGGUUGGAACGACACCACGAUUGUCAUGAUCCCAAAGGUACAAACACCAGAGAAAGUUUCGCAGUUUUGACCGAUCAGCCUUUGCGAUGUGGUCUAUAGGGUUAUCUAAAAAAUGAUCGCCACAAGAUUAAAAUUAUUUUUGUCUGAUAUAAUAAGUCCAACCCAGAGUGCCUUUGUCCCAGCGUUACAGAAAAUGUUCUUAUUGCAUAUGAAAGCUUACAUACAAUUAAGCAGAAGAAAACAAGCAAGGAAGGGUGGUGUGCGGUUAAUCUUGAUAUGCAUAAAGCCUAUGACCGAGUCGAGUGGGUGUUCCUGGAAGCUAUUCUCCUCAAGCUUGGUUUUCACGCAAACUGGGUGAAUAUGGUUAUGUUAUGUGUAUCUUCUGUUGAAUAUAGAGUCAGGUACAACUCGACAGAGACUGAAGCGUUCAAACCAUCGAGAGGGCUUCGUCAAGGGGAUCCUCUCUCGCCAUAUCUUUUUCUUCUCUGCACGGAGGGACUAACUGCCCUACUUUCCAGGGCUGAAAAUAACGGCGACCUCGUGGGGGUCAAAGUUUGUCGUGAUGCGCCAACAGUGUCAAAUCUUUUGUUUGCAGAUGACUCACUCAUCCCGAUGAAGGCCAAUGCUACUAAUGCUGCUUGUCUUAAAUCUAUCUUGGAUAUAUAUUGUUCGGCAUCCGGUCAAUUGGUCAGUGUGGAGAAAUCAAGUAUUUUUUCAGCCCAAGUACAGAUGUCAAUGUGAAGGCACAUGUAUGCUCAAUUUUAGAUAUCAUGACAGAGGCGUUGAAUGACAAAUAUUUGGGCCUCACAGCUACUUUGGGGAUUGAUAAAAGUGACAGCUUCCAAUAUCUGAUUGAUCGUCUGGUUCAGAAACUUAUGGGAUGGAAGGAGAGAUGCUUAUCUUCUGGGGGAAAGAAGUGCUCUUGAAAUCGGUAGCGCAAGCUAUACCAACUUAUGCGAUGUCCGUCUUCAAAAUUUCUAAAAAAAUAUGCAAAGGAAUCACAGAUGCGAUGUCUCGUUAUUGGUAGGGUGAUGACGCUACUAAUAAAAAGAUGCAUUGGUUUGCCUGGUGGAAGAUGUGCGUACCAAAGAAGAAAGGCGGUAUGGGCUUCAGGGACAUUCAUUGUUUUAAUCUUGCACUUUUGGCAAAACAAGCAUGGCGCCUCAUUGACAAUCCAGACUCACUAUGUGCAAUUAUUUUAAGAGCCAAGUACUUCCCUGAUGGAGAUCUUAUGAGUGCUACUUUGAAGAAAAAAUCUUCAUAUACUUGGCAGAGUAUAAUGGCUAGUGUGGACACACUGAGACGUGAGUAUAUUUGGAGAAUUGGAGAUGGUGAAAAGGUGAAUAUAUGGGAGGACUCAUGGAUUCCUUAGUCACCGACAAGAAAGAUACUAACUAUUCGAGGUAAUAAUUUAAUCACACGAGUCUGUGAUCUCAUCGACCCAGCAACUGGAGACUGGGACUCACAAUUGGUUAAUCAAACAUUCUGGGAAGUGGAUGUCCAGAGAAUACUUGCUAUACCCUUGCCCGUAUAUGAAAUGUCAGAUUUCAUUGCCUGGGAUCCCACCAAGAAUGGAAUCUUUUCGGUACGAUCCGCUUACCAAGUGGAAUGGAAUGCUCAAUUUCGUCACUUGCUGCAAACUAGAGCCGAAUCAUUGUAUCCUGACGAGAAGUGGAACUUGAUAUGGACCUUACAGUGCCCCGCAAAGAUCUGGAUUUUUAUUUGGAGAGUUCUCCAUAGUGCUAUUCCGUGUAGGGCGGUUCUGGCCUCGAAGCACAUGAAAGUGAAAACACAUUGUCCGUAAUGCAAUAUGGGACCGGAUAGCAUCAAGUACUUCCUUUUUGAGUGCCCAAGAUCAAAAGAGGUAUGGCGACAAUUGGGGCUGAUUGAUGUUGUCAAGAGGAGAUGUACACAAUUCAAAUCAGGUGAAGAAGUGGUGCAUGAACUAUUAAGCAUGGAGGAAACCGAGGUCUAGAUCCUAGGUCUUCCCAAACUGAAGGAGGUUGUGGCCACUGCGGCAUGGUAUCUAUGGUAUGAACACCAAAAAAGUACCAUGGAGAGGACACCCAAAAACCCUCACAAAUUGCUCUCGCUAUCCGAGGACUCUCAGCUAACUUUACUAUUGCUUGUUCCACUAAGGCAAAGCUACGUGUUGGUUCAUGGGAGAAGUUGAUACAGGGGUAUAUGAAAUUAAAUGUAGAUGUUGGCUUUGACCAUGAUCUUCUUGAGGGAUCGGUGGGGGAGUGAUCCGAGAUUACAACGGGAAAUUUAUUGCGGCAACUAAUGAACGAGUGGACAUAAGCUAUAAUUUGUUCACUUCAGAGGCAUUAGCAGUCAGAUUUGGUUUGAAUCUAGCCAGAACCAUUGGAUGCAGCAAGAUCGUGAUCAACUCGGAUAGCAUGGAGGUUGUGGAACCUUUGAGAGCAGGCAACUCCUCUUCGGUGGCAAGUGCAAUUAUUGAUGAUUGCUAUUUCAUAUGUUGUCAGAUUUUAAUCAUGUAAUUUAUGAUCAUUGUAAUAGAGAGAGUAAUAAAGUAGCUCCUGAACUUGCUAGGAUAGUUAAGUUUUCUCCUCCUUCUAUCUGGAUGGAUUCGGCACGGGAUGUACUGCUUCCAUUACUUGUAAACAAUGCCACUAUUUUGCUAAGUGAAUAAAGGAGGAUAAGUUCUGUAAAAAAACUGUUACGAGUAUAUAUGCACAAGUACUCCCUCUGUAU
rnacentral:lncRNA from 1 species